GACGAACGCUGGCGGCGUGCUUAACACAUGCAAGUCGAGCGGAGCGGCGAACGGGUGAGUAACGCGUGAGUAACUGCCCCCCUCUCAGGGAUAACAGUUGGAAACGGCUGCUAAUACCGGCUAGUGGGGGAUGACUCGCGUCCUAUCAGCUUGUUGGUGGGGUAGUGGCCUACCAAGGCGACGACGGGUAGCCGGCCUGGGAGGGCGACCGGCCACAUUGGCCUGGGAUACGGCCCAAGCUCCUACGGGAGGCAGCAGUGGAGAAUAUUGCACAAUGGGGGAAACCCUGAUGCAGCAACGCGCGUGAAGGAAGACGGUCUUCGGAUUGAAAACUUCUUUAGACAGUGACGCGGUACCUGUAGAAAAAGCCACGGCUAACUACGUGCCAGCAGCCGCGGUAAUUC
rnacentral:rRNA from 1 species